rnacentral:rRNA from 1 species
UGAGUAACCUGCCCCAGACUCUGGGAUAAGCACUGGAAACGGUGUCUAAUACCGGAUACGAGCUUCAGCCGCAUGGCUAGGAGCUGGAAAGAAUUUCGGUCUGGGAUGGACUCGCGGCCUAUCAGCUAGUUGGUGAGGUAACGGCCCACCAAGGCGACGACGGGUAGCCGGCCUGAGAGGGUGACCGGCCACACUGGGACUGAGACACGGCCCAGACUCCUA